GGAUCCAUUGCUUGGUGGUAGAGCAUUUGAGUGCGGAUCAAGAGGUCAUCGGUUUGAAUCCAGCUUGGACCCU